AAAUUGAAGAGUUUGAUCAUGGCUCAGAUUGAACGCUGGCGGCAGGCCUAACACAUGCAAGUCGAACGGUAACAGGAAGCAGCUUGCUGCUUUGCUGACGAGUGGCGGACGGGUGAGUAAUGUCUGGGAAACUGCCUGAUGGAGGGGGAUAACUACUGGAAACGGUGGCUAAUACCGCAUAACGUCGCAAGACCAAAGAGGGGGACCUUCGGGCCUCUUGCCAUCAGAUGUGCCCAGAUGGGAUUAGCUUGUUGGUGAGGUAACGGCUCACCAAGGCGACGAUCCCUAGCUGGUCUGAGAGGAUGACCAGCCACACUGGAACUGAGACACGGUCCAGACUCCUACGGGAGGCAGCAGUGGGGAAUAUUGCACAAUGGGCGCAAGCCUGAUGCAGCCAUGCCGCGUGUAUGAAGAAGGCCUUCGGGUUGUAAAGUACUUUCAGCGGGGAGGAAGGUGUUGUGGUUAAUAACCGCAGCAAUUGACGUUACCCGCAGAAGAAGCACCGGCUAACUCCGUGCCAGCAGCCGCGGUAAUACGGAGGGUGCAAGCGUUAAUCGGAAUUACUGGGCGUAAAGCGCACGCAGGCGGUCUGUCAAGUCGGAUGUGAAAUCCCCGGGCUCAACCUGGGAACUGCAUUCGAAACUGGCAGGCUUGAGUCUUGUAGAGGGGGGUAGAAUUCCAGGUGUAGCGGUGAAAUGCGUAGAGAUCUGGAGGAAUACCGGUGGCGAAGGCGGCCCCCUGGACAAAGACUGACGCUCAGGUGCGAAAGCGUGGGGAGCAAACAGGAUUAGAUACCCUGGUAGUCCACGCCGUAAACGAUGUCUACUUGGAGGUUGUGCCCUUGAGGCGUGGCUUCCGGAGCUAACGCGUUAAGUAGACCGCCUGGGGAGUACGGCCGCAAGGUUAAAACUCAAAUGAAUUGACGGGGGCCCGCACAAGCGGUGGAGCAUGUGGUUUAAUUCGAUGCAACGCGAAGAACCUUACCUGGUCUUGACAUCCACGGAAGAAUUCAGAGAUGAGUUUGUGCCUUCGGGAACCGUGAGACAGGUGCUGCAUGGCUGUCGUCAGCUCGUGUUGUGAAAUGUUGGGUUAAGUCCCGCAACGAGCGCAACCCUUAUCCUUUGUUGCCAGCGGUCCGGCCGGGAACUCAAAGGAGACUGCCAGUGAUAAACUGGAGGAAGGUGGGGAUGACGUCAAGUCAUCAUGGCCCUUACGACCAGGGCUACACACGUGCUACAAUGGCGCAUACAAAGAGAAGCGACCUCGCGAGAGCAAGCGGACCUCAUAAAGUGCGUCGUAGUCCGGAUUGGAGUCUGCAACUCGACUCCAUGAAGUCGGAAUCGCUAGUAAUCGUGGAUCAGAAUGCCACGGUGAAUACGUUCCCGGGCCUUGUACACACCGCCCGUCACACCAUGGGAGUGGGUUGCAAAAGAAGUAGGUAGCUUAACCUUCGGGAGGGCGCUUACCACUUUGUGAUUCAUGACUGGGGUGAAGUCGUAACAAGGUAACCGUAGGGGAACCUGCGGUUGGAUCACCUCCUUACCUUAAAGAA
rnacentral:rRNA from 1 species